rnacentral:lncRNA from 1 species
CCUAGUGGAGAUGUUCUAGCCAUGGACUGGAACAAAAGACAAGGAAAUGAAGAAGAUGGCAGGGAGGGAGACGGUGAAGAUGGGGGAGGCCCUUAAAAGAAAAUUUGAAAGGAAGGAAGGCGGAGUACCUGGAACUACGCACGCAGAGUUUCGACAGCAAAGUGGGGGGGGAGGUAAAAACUGAAUAUGGGCGAUCCUGUAUAUAUAGUACCCUCCGACUGUCGAGAUGAAGGCAUGACCAACGAGGAGUCCCCAGAUC